rnacentral:lncRNA from 1 species
CUAUACCUGAAAAUUUUAUCAACUGUAGUUUUAGUGGUUCUAUUUUUAUGGUGUGUUAAUUCUACUUAUUUUUGCCCAUGCUGUCUUGAUCUCAUUUACUGGUUUAGUUUUUUAUUGUUUUUCAGACACUAUCUUGACAAAAUUGUUUGUAAAAAAAUGUAAGGUCUAUGGUAAUAUUUUCUUUCAAAGAAUACUCCAUUUAUGUCAAAGUGCAGUAAUAGUUUGGAUAGCCAGCAAUUGUUUUUUGUGGGUCCAUGCAAAUGACUGAAAGCGGGACUGCAGUCUGUGUGAGGAUAUGUUACUUCUGAUUCACUCUAAUCCUUUUGGAGUUCCCAGAUGAACUUGUGAGGGCCUUUGUUGGAGCACCAAUCCUUCAUGGAUUUUGGCUUCUAAUAUGAAACUUCCAAAAGUACCACUUAACCUCUCCUCCGUCUCUCCUGGAAUUGGUGAAUACCCUCAGGGGUCUAGCAACCACAAGUGAUACGUUUACUUUUCUGGAUAUAUCUGUCAUAGAUCUUGCCUAUGUAAUUCUUCACUAUAAUAUUAGUUCUCAUGUAUUCAAGUAGAUAAUUUUAAUAUAGUAUAUAUUUUUUCAGGCUUUUCUAAUUGGUCUAGGUGGGAGAGUUUAUCUGAUUUGCCUAUCAUGGUGGCUGAGGAAUUCCAAUUUUCCUUUCUUUUCUUUUUUUGUGAAACAUUUUUGAUUGGAAAACAAUUCAUAAAGCAGUGUGGAAGGUAAAUUGGAGGAGGGGAGGUUAUGUAUGGCUACCACCAAAUUGGUUCCAAAGUGGAUGUGUUAGUUGACACUUUCACUAGUAUUAUAUGAGAGUUCCAGUUGUUCCUUGAUUAUUUUUUUAGCCUUGUCCACCUGGCAAGGAAUUCUUGAAAAAUCUGUUUGCAAGAAAAUGAAUUAUAUCUUCCUUAUAGGCGCUGUGCAUCUGAUAUGUGGAUGGAAAGCAAUGUGGACUGGUGGGAUGGGGGACUUCUUAUGGGAAAAUACAGUUCAAAGAACAGAAGAAAUAUAGAGGAAGAGGUAAGUAAUUGCAGCUAAAGAAGAAGGGAUAAGGCAACUUUUGUUGAGGCCAUGACAUCAAUGCUGGGUCGUGAAGAAUAAGUUCUUCAGUAGAGAAAAUGUUUCAGGCAGAGGGCACAGCUUGCACAAAGGCAGAAAUCAACAUGGUAAUGUAGUGACUGGUAUGUAUGUAUGUGCACACAUGUGUACCUAGGGAAUAAGAGGUGGAGCUGGAAAGGUAGGCAGGGAAUGGAAUAAGAAAGGACUUUUAUAUGUGCAGGGCAACGUGGACACUGGUCUAGUCCUAUGAUUACAGACAGUGCUCCAAGAGCAAUUUCUGGUGGUGCCAGUAAAGAGGGCUUUGGGACUCAUCUUCAUUUCAGCCAGGGU